GUCGGAACGUCCCUGUGCUGUACGGCGCUCUGCGGCGCAGCGCGGUCUGCAGGACGCACACCAGUAAGGAAGAGGACUGAGGUGUUGAAAGACGUCCUUGAAGUCCCAUGUAAAUGUCUCGCAGAGGGUACCCUGGAGAGAACCCGGUUUACCUGUGUGGAGUCCUGUCCAGCAUUUCAAGACUGGCAUCAACACGCCACCCUCUACAAACAACCCCCAAGCGGCAUCUCCUGUUCAGACCACGAGCCCUUGUACAGCACCGAUCAUUUAGAACGACUUAAGAGCGCACGUGCUGCACUGCGCCGCCGUCUUUUCCUGCGGGUACUGACUCUUUUAAUACAAAUAUGGUAUUACCUUGGCAGUUUUGAGAACAAAGUUAUCUUGAGAUAUCAAACAUCAGUAACAAACUCUGAUAAGCACAGCUUCUUGAGAACUUUAACAGCAUUUCUUCACAGUGAUAGUUAUGAAAGGUUGGAAAAAGAUUAGCAUAAAAUAUUCCCAUCCUUUUUCAGUUUUUAUGCAAAAAU
rnacentral:lncRNA from 1 species